GGCUCAGAACGAACGUUGGCGGCGUGGAUUAGGCAUGCAAGUCGAACGAAUCCCAGUGGGGGUAACUCUGCUGGGGGAAGUGGCGAAAGGGGCAGUAAUGCGUGGGUAACCUACCCCGGGGAUGGGGAUAGCUGCCCUAACGGGCAGGUAAUACCCGGCGAUUUGACGGAGGGGCAUCUCUCUGUCAGGAAAUGAAUUUCGCCUCGGGAGGGGCUCACGUGGUAUUAGCUUGUUGGUGGGGUAACGGCCUACCAAGGCAAAGAUGCCUAGCGGGUGUGAGAGCACGACCCGCGCCACUGGCACUGAGACACUGGCCAGACACCUACGGGUGGCUGCAGUCGAGGAUCUUCGGCAAUGGGCGCAAGCCUGACCGAGCGACGCCGCGUGCGCGAUGAAGGCCUUCGGGUUGUAAAGCGCUGUCGAGGGGGAGGAAGCCGCAAGGUUGACCUAUCCCUGGAGGAAGCACGGGCUAAGUUCGUGCCAGCAGCCGCGGUAAGACGAACCGUGCAAACGUUGUUCGGAAUCACUGGGCUUAAAGGGCGCGUAGGCGGGCAAGCAAGUCCGGGGUGAAAUCUUUCGGCUCAACCGGAAAAGUGCCUUGGAUACUGCUUGUCUGGAGGGAGGUAGGGGCAUGUGGAACUUCUGGUGGAGCGGUGAAAUGCGUUGAUAUCAGAAGGAACGCCGGUGGCGAAAGCGACGUGCUGGACCUCUUCUGACGCUGAUGCGCGAAAGCUAGGGGAGCAAACGGGAUUAGAUACCCCGGUAGUCCUAGCCCUAAACGAUGGGUACUAGAUUGUGGACUAGACAUGGGUUCCCAGUCGAAGCAAAAGUGAUAAGUACCCCGCCUGGGGAGUAUGGUCGCAAGGCUGAAACUCAAAU
rnacentral:rRNA from 1 species